UAUAUAAAAAUACAUAUAAAGUGAAGUUUUUCCGUUGUUCAGUGCGAACACGGAAAUAACAAAGAUGAAUAAAUAUUAAAAUGCAAACAACCCAAAAAGUUCAGGGCGAACUUAGUGCUAUGUUCAAAAAGUGAAUGGUAAAUCAUCUCUACAAUUAUUUUGUGAUGAAAGCCAAAUCAUUUAAAAAUAAAAAUAAAAAAUUAAAAACAAGGGUGCAGUAAUUUAACAUCUCUACAGCUACGGUUGUGAUGGUAAAUUAAAUGAGAGCAUUAAAAAAUAUACAAAUAUACAAAAAAUAAAAACAAGUAUACAAGAAAUAAAAAUUAAACAAAGGUGCGGUAAUUUAACAUCUCUACAGCUACGGUUGUGAUGGUAAAUUAAAUAAGAGCAUUAAGAAUAAACAAAUAUAUAAGAAAAUCCGAUAUCUGGAAUCUAUUAAAGAAGUUCUCUUUAUAGGUGAAAUUCGACCCUCACACUGUCCGACUACCCUACGUCGAGGAAAUAUACACACACACCAACAUAACACUCACACGAUUGCAAAGAAUCUUCACCUCCACACCACCAAUCACCAAAUACGAUAUAAGUAAACCUUAAUACGUAAGCGAUAAAUUAAUUUCUAAGAAAUUACCGAAAUAAGAAAGUAAAGAGUAGAUGUCGAAACUCAAUAAAGUAAAAAA